UACGGAGGGGACUAGCGUUGUUCGGAUUUACUGGGCGUAAAGAGCGCGUAGGCGGUCUGCUAAGUUAGAAGUGAAAGCCCAGGGCUUAACCCUGGAACUGCUUCUAAAACUGACAGACUAGAGUACGGGAGAGGAUAGUGGAAUUCCUAGUGUAGAGGUGAAAUUCUUAGAUAUUAGGAGGAACACCGGUGGCGAAAGCGACUAUCUGGAACGAUACUGACGCUGAGGCGCGAAAGCGUGGGGAGCAAACAGG
rnacentral:misc_RNA from 1 species